rnacentral:lncRNA from 1 species
UUUAAGCUGAUUUGUAUUCAAUUCAAAGUAAUAAAGCAUUCUGAGUAUAUAGCAUAUACUUAGAUAUUUCUCCCCCUUUUUGACAACAUCAAAAAGAUAGUGAAACAUUAAGUACAAAGAUCAGAGCAGAACACAUCGAGUGUGAAUUCAAGAGGUUUUUUUUAAUUUGAUACCACAGAUAGUUUUCUAAACAAGUGUAGGUGGAAUCUUCCUUAGGUUAAUUCAAGAAGUACUACAAAUGAUAUUCAAGGAAAAACAUGAGUGGAAAUCUAACCUCUCUUCAAUAAUAAGUAUGAAAGCUUGUUCAUUUAAGAUCUUUUGCCCAAUAUAUUAAGUAUUUUAUCCACAUGAGAGCAAUUUAAUUAAUUUUCAGAGUAUAAGAUCAAAACUUAUAUACUUGAAAAACAUAUCAUCAUGUUGGAUCAUUAAUUCUUAAUGACUUCAAAGUUCUUUUACGAUAAUAAGAGCAUUGGGGCACAAAUACCAAAAUAUGGAUCCAUGCAAUUUUUGAUACAUCUUAGAGCUCUUUUAAAGAUUUUCUUUUAUUCCUUUAGAAAAUAAGCACAAUUUGGUACAUAUAAUAAUGAAUUGGCAUAAAAAUUGAAGUUCUAAAGAACAAGCCAAUA